rnacentral:rRNA from 1 species
GACGAACGCUGGCGGCGUGCUUAACACAUGCAAGUCGAACGGUGAAGGGACCGGUUUUUGCUGGUUCUGGAUGAGUGGCGAACGGGUGAGUAACACGUGAGUAACCUGCCCCCUUCUUCUGGAUAACCGCAUGAAAGUGUGGCUAAUACGGGAUAUUCUGCGCCUGCUGCAUGGUGGGUGUGGGAAAGAUAUUGCUUCGGUGGGGGAUGGGCUCGCGGCCUAUCAGCUUGUUGGUGGGGGGAUGGCCUACCAAGGCGGUGACGGGUAGCCGGCCUGAGAGGGUGGGCGGUCACACAGGGACUGAGACACGGCCCAGACUCCUACGGGAGGCAGCAGUGAAGAAUAUUGCACGAUGGGCGCAAGCCUGGUGCAGCGACGCCGCGGGAGGGAUGGUGUCCUUCGCGUUGUAAACCUCUUUCGCCAGUGAAGCAGGCCUGUCCCUUUUGUGGGUGGGUUGACGGUAGCUGGAUAAGAAGCUCCGGCUAACUACGUG